rnacentral:rRNA from 1 species
UACGUAGGGGGCAAGCGUUGUCCGGAAUCAUUGGGCGUAAAGAGCGUGUAGGCGGCUCGGUAAGUCCGCUGUGAAAGUCCAGGGCUCAACCCUGGAAUGCCGGUGGAAACUGUCGAGCUAGAGUCCGGAAGAGGCGAGUGGAAUUCCUGGUGUAGCGGUGAAAUGCGCAGAUAUCAGGAGGAACACCAAUGGCGAAAGCAGCUCGCUGGGACGGUACUGACGCUGAGACGCGAAAGCGUGGGGAGCAAACAGG